UUAGACUCUUGGGGAUUUUUUACAAGCAUUUGUUUUGGAAAAUAUUACCCCAGUGACGAAAGGCACCAAAUCGAGUAAGGAUAAGGAAUGCUGGUCAAGGCGCAUAUCAGCUUGAGCAGUGCAGCAUUUACAGCCACCAUUUUCCCCCUGGGGAGGAAAACAGCAGCUGAGGGAACCUGUGUACAUGCUGAUGCAAUGCUGUUCAAAAUUUUGUAAAAGUUAACUCCAUCCUCCACAAAAAUGGCCAAACGAAAGAUGUACAAUAGGAGCUUUCAAGACAGGAGGGAGGCAGAUUAUCUGUUCACGAAUAUAAAGGACAGACUUGUGACGGAGCUAACGUGUAUGAAACGAAACAUUUUGAGAAGUAUAAAGACCUGGACGUGAAGCAGAAGCUCCAGAAAGCGGAGGAGAUGAAACAAAGUCUGAUUUCCCGGCAGACUAUGUUCAUGGAAGCAAAAUCAAAAAGUGAAGCUGCUGUAAAGGUUAGCGUUAUUGUGGCAGCAGAGAUUGCAAAAUCUUCCCGGCCUUUUAAUGAGGGAGAGUUUGUCAAAAAGUGUAAGGUCAAAGUUUGCGACAUUGUGUGCCCAGAUAAAAGGCAAGAAUCAAUGUAAUCAAUGUGCAGAUCAAUGUGCAGAGUAAAUCAGAGUGUAACAAACUGAGCUUGAAUAUAUGUUUUCUUUAUGCACUUUUUCUACUCCAAGGCAUGGAGGUUAAUAGUCGAAAAGUUCGAUUUUUAUUGAAUGAAAUUAUUAUUUUUGGUUGUUUUGUUGUUAGUUUUGAAAAAGAUCCACUUCAAAAAGGAACCUAAAAAGAUACAAUGAGAGACAUAAUUUAUUUUAUUUAUUUAAAUAAGAAAUUAACACCACUCAUGUGUCUUUUAUUUCUGGUUGUUCCCGUGACUUUAUCUCAGUUUUAUAUUUUGGCACUGUGAAUUUGAGUUUGACACCCCUGCUCUAACCUAAAUAUAUUCCUUUGAACAAGUAAAGUACUUGCAUUUGCAAGAGCAUUUGGAUACCGAUGAAC